UGCACAAACAGCACAAUGCAAACGUAUAAAGCCCAAUUUAGAGGACGACACGGCGGAGUCAGGCGCCUUACACUCCAGUCUCAGAUCUGAGCAAGUCAUAAGGACAAGAUUUACCUUCUUCAUCAUGGAUUUCUUUUUGUUUUAGUUUUUAAAUGUGCUUUGAUGCAAGUAUGGCAGUCUGUUUCGCUUUGAUCUUGGAGAAGCUAAAAGAGGGAAUGUAAAGACUCCAUGACCAUCCUCCUGGAAAGGAUCUUUCGAUAUGUCUGAAGAGCAAGAGAGAAUUACAGUCCUGCUUUGGAGUAUUUGAGCAUCUAAGAGGCUUAUGGAUUCCACAUAACACCAGACUGCACUGUGUUUUACAAGUUUUUUUGAUCAUUCCGUACUUUAUGUGGCAUCUACAUAGUUCACACUUCCUUCCCCACACAUUAAAAGCAAAACAUUUAAUUUAGAGAUCUGAAAAUGGCAAGUGGUGGGCUUAAUUGACAAAUUAUUCUCAUAAAAAGCACUUUAUGAAAUGCACAUGUUUAUACAAGUCCAGAGCGAUUUCUUUAAAUUACUUCCCAUGUUUCCUCAAAAACUUGGGUACAAAUAAAUCAAUAAAGGGAGUAGUAAUAAUGCAAUAUACCUGCCCACAUGGCUGUAAUUCAAACCACAUACUACAUAGUACCAAGGUAUAUGGCCAUGGUACAUUAGUAUUAUUGCUAUGGUUCUUGAUAGGCUGAUAGUUCAUAGGUUCUUUGACAUGCACUCUGUUAGCCAAUCAACUUGCAAACUCCCUCUUUGUCUAACAUCUAAAUUGCACAGUUUGUUCGCAGGUAAGCCGGUUUCACUGCAGCGCUCUAUGAGAAUUUUCUCUCUGAAACUCUCCUCCUCCCCAGCACCACUUGUCUUGAUCUGCUUUGAGGGGAUUGGUUGUGUGUCGAAUUGUACAGCAGCUGCAUUUCCUACAUGCUCGAUGAAGCUUGUCUUGUGUAUGUCUAAAUGUGUAGCAGCAGUUAAUCUGCCAAGACUAAACCUACCAACUUCACAGUACCACAGUACCACAGUACCUUAAUAAUUCACAGUACCUUUCACAGUACAUUUUUUUAUGUGGCAAACCACUUCAAAUAUGAAUCUUUACUCCCAAUGUAUUAAGAGAGUUAAUCAUAUUUAC